CUUCUUUUUGGCGAAUGAUUAUUUUCAUUUAGAAAACAGCUACUUUCAAAAAAGGCAUAAAUAGAUACUUUGCAGCCUUUUCCUGCCCUUAAAUUUUAUAUUUUUGGUGUAGGAACUGCAUAAGUGACAGUU
rnacentral:snoRNA from 1 species